CAAUGGUAACUUGCAUAGGUCGUGUCUUGUUAUGGUUAUCUCGUCAUCUCGGAUCUUAAAGGCUUUUCUAUAAAUUUGCAGGGACCGUUAAAACAAAUAAUUAUUGAAUAUUAAGAUUUAAUUUUACCAUCAUUUCUUUGAAAUGUGGUACGAGGUUCUUCCAACGUUUGGAAUAAUGGUUGCAGUUUUUACAAUUCCAAUGUAUACACACUGGUAUCUAAACAAGGCGUGUAUUGGAACUCCAUACAAACGUUUCCUCGCUCACAAGUCGGACAGGCGGAUGUACGAGCGUGAUCUUCGUAUGUCUGGUUUUGUCUACGAUAUGCAGGGCCUGGAAGGUAUCCCUGACAAAAAAUAGAAAAAACUGGGUUGAAAUUUUCUAGCAGCACAUUUUAAUUUCAUGUACAUACUGUAUCAAAUAUGAUUAAACUACCAUAAACAGCA